rnacentral:rRNA from 1 species
UACCAGCACCCCGAGUGGUCGGGACGUUUUAUUGGGCCUAAAGCAUCCGUAGCCGGUUCUACAAGUCUUCCGUUAAAUCCAACUGCUUAACAGGUGGGCUGCGGAAGAUACUAUAGAGCUAGGAGGCGGGAGAGGCAAGCGGUACUCGAUGGGUAGGGGUAAAAUCCGUUGAUCCAUUGAAGACCACCAGUGGCGAAGGCGGCUUGCCAGAACGCGCUCGACGGUGAGGGAUGAAAGCUAGGGGAGCAAACGGG